rnacentral:rRNA from 1 species
CGGGUGAGUAACACGUGGAUUAUCUGCCCUAAGGUGGGGGAUAACCCGGGGAAACUCGGGCUAAUACCGCAUGAUACCGAAAGGUCAAAGGGGGGUCGCAAGAUCUCUCGCCAUUGGAGGAGUCCGCGUCCGAUUAGCUAGUUGGUAGGGUAAUGGCCUACCAAGGCGACGAUCGGUAGCCGGCCUGAGAGGGUGAUCGGCCACACUGGAACUGAGACACGGUCCAGACUCCUACGGGAGGCAGCAGUGGGGAAUUUUGCGCAAUGGGCUAACGCCUGACGCAGCAACGCCGCGUGGAGGAUGAAGGUCUUUGGAUUGUAAACUCCUGUCAGCAGGGAAAAAGCGACUCGUGCUCAUACCACGGGGAGUUGAUUGUACCUGCAGAGGAAGCCCCGGCUAACUCUGUGCCAGCAGCCGCGGUAAUACAGAGGGGGCAAGCGUUAUUCGGAAUUAUUGGGCGUAAAGGGCGCGUAGGCGGCCUUGCAAGUGGAUGGUGAAAUCCCUCGGCUUAACCGAGGAACUGCCAUCCAGACUGCUCGGCUUGAGACCGGGAGAGGUGAGUGGAAUUCCCAGUGUAGCGGUGAAAUGCGUAGAUAUUGGGAGGAAC